GGUGAGAUGGCCGAGUUGGUUAUGGCGCCAGGUUAAGGUUUCAAUCUUAGCAACAUAUCCUGGUGGGGCAACCCUCGUGGGUUCGAAUCCCACUCUCAUCA
rnacentral:tRNA from 1 species